rnacentral:lncRNA from 10 species
GCUACGUGCUGCCUGGCAUGUGCACUCUGCCAGGUCCCUGGAGGGCACUGCUGUCUCUCACUUGCUCAGGGUUCAGGAGUUGUUAAUCCCGGAUUCAGAUAAUAAUAUCCAAAGGCAAUCAGGGGACAUUGAACCAGCUGGAGCUGAAGGCUCCUCUCUGUGGGCCUUGGAAGGAGGGGCCUCUGCAUUCCUCCGCCUGCCAUAGGCUGGGCCUGCAGCAAGUGCUCAACUACAGUGGGAAGAAUGGCUGAGUGAAGGAGAGACCCUCCCAGACUACAGUAAGUUCCUCUGCUGAUAGACCUCCUUCCAAAUCCCCCUGCCCCACUCCCCACACCCACUUUGAGAGGCAUGCAGCCAUGGACCACUGAGAGUGGGAUUUCAAACACGAGUGAUGAAAGUGAUGUUAGGAAAGAGGAGGAGCUACAGUGGAGUCCUGCAAAGUAUUUGCCAUCACAGCCUGCAGCAUCUUUAAACACAUAACCUCAGUGUCUCCUUCCCUUGAGGGUAGCUAUCACCAUUGGAAAGAGCAAACAAAUCUUGGGAACAAGUUAACUUCUGGGGGAUUUCUGCUGUCUUUAAAUAGAUGCAAACAAAUAACAAAGAAGGAGGAGGAGAAUCAAUAUGGAUUGGUUCACAGGACCCACAGCAGAGGGACAGCUGGGUCUUUGAGUGAAGAGCUAAACAGUGGUGAUGUCUGAAUGGUCUUGAGUUUUCAGGAGCAUCUUUCAUUCUAAAGAAGCAACCCUUGAUGGGCUCCUGGACAGCUUCAGGGUGGAAGCCGGUCACCAAAAAGCCCAAGCCGUGAUUAGAAGCUUGGAACUUUCAGCCACACCCCACCCCUAUCCUCCAGGAAAGAAGAGGGGCUAGAGGUUGAAUUAAUAACCAUUCAUGCCUUCUUGAUUAAGCCUAAUAAAAGUCGCCAAAGUACAGGGUUCAGAGACCUGGGUUGGUGAACACAUCUAUGUGCCAGGAAGGUGGUGUGCCCUGACUCACUGGAGACAGAAGCUCCUGCAAUCAGACCCUUCCAGACCUCACCCUGUGUACCUCUUCAUUUGCCUGUUCAUCUGUAUUCAUUAUCAUAUCCUUUAUAAUAAGCCAAUAAACAUAAGUCUCUCUCCAAGUUCUGU